rnacentral:rRNA from 1 species
AGAGUUUGAUCAUGGCUCAGAAUCAACGCUGGCGGCGCGCUUAACACAUGCAAGUCGAACGAGAAAGCAGGGGCAACCCUGUGAGUACAGUGGCGUACGGGUGAGUAACACGUGGGUAAUCUACCUCAUAGUGGGGAAUAACGCUGGGAAACCGGCGCUAAUACCGCAUAAUCCCGAGAGGGCAAAGGAGCAAUCCGCUUUGGGAGGAGUCCGCGGCCGAUUAGCUUGUUGGUAGGGUAAUGGCCUACCAAGGCUUUGAUCGGUAGCCGGCCUGAGAGGGCACACGGCCACACUGGCACUGAAACACGGGCCAGACUCCUACGGGAGGCAGCAGUGGGGAAUCUUGCACAAUGGGGGAAACCCUGAUGCAGCGACGCCGCGUGAGCGAUGAAGCCCUUCGGGGUGUAAAGCUCUUUCGGCAGGGACGAUUAUGACGGUACCUGCAGAAGCAGCUGCGGCUAACUACGUGCCAGCAGCCGCGGUAAUACGUAGGCAGCAAGCGUUGUUCGGAGUUACUGGGCGUAAAGGGUGUGUAGGUGGCCUGUUAAGUUCCGUGUGAAAUCUCCCGGCUCAACCGGGAGGGUGCGCGGAAAACUGGCGGGCUAGAGUGCGGGAUGGGAGAGUAGAAUUCCUGGUGUAGCGGUGAAAUGCGUAGAUAUCAGGAGGAAUACCUGUGGUGUAGACGGCUCUCUGGACCGCAACUGACACUGAGACACGAAAGCGUGGGUAGCAAACAGGAUUAGAUACCCUAGUAGUCC